rnacentral:lncRNA from 1 species
AAGCUCUCUCCAUCUUUGGGCGUACUCCUUGAAUGUCUCUUUAUCUUUCUGGGACAUUGACUGCAAUUGAUCUUGAUCGGGAGCCAUAUCAACAUUAUACUUAUAUUGCUUGAUGAAAGCCUCGCCCAAGUCAUUAAAAGUACGAACAUUAGCACUGUCCAAGCCCAUAUACCAUAUGAGUGCAGGACCAGUUAAACUAUCUUG